AGGGGACGAAAGUCUGAUGGAGCAAUACCAUGUGAACGAUGAAGGCCUUUUUGGUUGUAAAGUUCUUUUACUAGGGAUAAUUAUGAUAGUACUUCGUGAAUAAGUGACAGCGAACUAUGUGCCAGCAGCUGCCGAACACAUAGGUCGCGAGCAUUAUUCGGAUUUAUUGGGAGUAAAGUAAGCGCAGGCGGAUGUGUAAAUUCUGUGUUAAAUGCAGCUACUCAAUAUUUGUAUGCGCCGAAUACUACAUGUCUAGAUGGUGGUAGGGAGUUUCGGAAUUAAGCAUGGAGCGGUGGAAUGUGUAGAUAUGCUUAAGAACACCAGAGGCGAAGGCGGAAACUUAGGCCAUAAAUGACGCUAAGACUUGAAAGUGUGGUGAGCCAAUGGCAUUAGAUACCCCAGUGCUCCACACCGUAGACGAUGGGUAUUAGAUAUUAGGGCUUUAUCUUUAUUGUUGAUGCUUACGCGUUAAAUACCCCGCCUGGGACGUACAUAUGCCAAUAUGAAACUCAAAGGAAUUGACGGGUACCUGACCAAGUAGAUGGAGACGGCUCUGACCAAGUGGAGUUAGGACGAAUCCUUCCCGAAGGAAUUAUGGCAAACA
rnacentral:misc_RNA from 1 species